CACGUAGGCGGACUGUUUAGUCAGAGGUGAAAUCCCGGGGCUCAACCUCGGAAUUGCCUUUGAUACUGGCAGUCUUGAGUCCGAGAGAGGUGAGUGGAAUUCCGAGUGUAGAGGUGAAAUUCGUAGAUAUUCGGAGGAACACCAGUGGCGAAGGCGGCUCACUGGCUCGGUACUGACGCUGAGGUGCGAAAGCGGUGGGGAGGCAAACA
rnacentral:rRNA from 1 species